UACGUAGGGGGCAAGCGUUGUCCGGAUUUAUUGGGCGUAAAGAGCGUGUAGGCGGUUUGGUAGGUCCGCUGUGAAAACUCGAGCUCAACCUCGAGACGCCGGUGGAAACCAUCAGACUAGAGUCCGGAAGAGGAGAGUGGAAUUCCUGGUGUAGCGGUGAAAUGCGCAGAUAUCAGGAGGAACACCGGUGGCGAAGGCGGUUCUCUGGGCAUUACCUGACGCUGAGGAGCGAAAGUGUGGGGAGCGAACAGG
rnacentral:rRNA from 1 species